GAUGAACGCUAGCGGCAGGCUUAACACAUGCAAGUCGAGGGGCAGCACGAUGUAGCAAUACAUUGGUGGCGACCGGCGCACGGGUGCGUAACACGUAUGGAACUUGCCCUAUACUGGGAGAUAGCCCGGAGAAAUCCGGAUUAAUAUCCCAUGACAGGAGGGGUGGCAUCACCUUUCCUUGAAAGCUCCGGCGGUAUAGGAUGGCCAUGCGCCCGAUUAGCUAGUUGGUGAGGUAACGGCUCACCAAGGCUACGAUCGGUAGGGGGCCUGAGAGGGUUAUCCCCCACACUGGUACUGAGACACGGACCAGACUCCUACGGGAGGCAGCAGUGAGGAAUAUUGCGCAAUGGAGGCAACUCUGACGCAGCCAUGCCG
rnacentral:rRNA from 1 species